GGUUAAGUUAUUAAGGGCGCAUGGUGGAUGCCUUGGCACUAGGAGCCGAUGAAGGACGGGACUAACACCGAUAUGCUUCGGGGAGCUGUAAGUAAGCUUUGAUCCGGAGAUUUCCGAAUGGGGAAACCCAGCUUGUGUAUGCAAGUUAUCAUCUAGUGAAUAUAUAGCUAGAUUGAAGGUAGACGUUGUGAACUGAAACAUCUCAUUAGCAACAGGAAGAGAAAGAAAAAUCGAUUCCGAUAGUAGCGGCGAGCGAACUCGGAAGAGCCCAAACCAAUGUGCUUGCACAUUGGGGUUGUAGGACUGCCGUUGUGGAGUUACAAAAUUGUUUAUUAGCAGAAUCAGCUGGGAAGCUGAGCGAGACAGGGUGAUAGCCCCGUAUGCGAAAGUAAGCAAUCUCCCGUGCAGGAUCCUGAGUACGGCCGGACACGUGAAAUCCGGUCGGAAUCUGCGAGGACCAUCUCGCAAGGCUAAAUACUCCCUAGUGACCGAUAGUGAACCAGUACCGUGAGGGAAAGG
rnacentral:rRNA from 1 species